rnacentral:rRNA from 1 species
CCUACGGGAGGCAGCAGUGAGGAAUAUUGGUCAAUGGGCGAGAGCCUGAACCAGCCAAGUCGCGUGAAGGAUGACGGCCCUACGGGUUGUAAACUUCUUUUGUCAGGGAGCAAUUGGGUCCACGCGUGGGCUUAGCGAGAGUACCUGAAGAAACAGCAUCGGCUAACUCCGUGCCAGCAGCCGCGGUAAUACGGAGGGUGCGAGCGGUAUCCGGAUUUAUUGGGUUUAAAGGGUGCGUAGGCGGAAUAUGCAGGUAACGGGAAAAAUUCGGGGCUCAACCCCGUCGUGCCGUUGAAACUGAUGUUCUUGAGUGGGCGAGAAGUAUGCGGAAUGCGUGGUGUAGCGGUGAAAUGCAUAGAUAUCACGCAGAACUCCGAUUGCGAAGGCAGCAUACCGGCGCCCAACUGACGCUGAAGCACGAAAGCGUGGGUAUCGAACAGGAUUAGAUACCCUGGUAGUC